UACAGAGGUCUCAAGCGUUUGUUCGGAUUCAUUGGGCGUAAAGGGUGCGUAGGCGGCGCGGUAAGUCGGGUGUGAAAUCAUCGGAGCUUAACUCCGAAACUGCAUUCGGAUACUGCCGUGCUUGAGGACUGGAGAGGAGACUGGAAUUUACGGUGUAGCGGUGAAAUGCGUAGAUAUCGAUAAGGAAGACCAGUGGUGAAGGCG
rnacentral:rRNA from 1 species